AUAAUCGCUAGAAGGGCACAAGGGAAAUGAACCACAAAGUAGACAGAGGUGCUACCUAUCAUCUAUCACAUAUACCUUAUUGUCUUUUCUUUGCAUGGUAGGAGCCAAAUCCUGCUGAUGCGCAGAUUUCUUCCUGCAGGAUGGGUUGUUCUGACUGCUCAUGGACCUCUGAGGAAGUGCCUGCACCUUCCAAAAUCCACGAAGGACCAGGACCUCUGCAUAACAGCCUAAUCUCACUGCUGGGGAGUGUGUCUAGCACUCCUGGGAAUUGAUUCAAGUUGACGAGUUAGGAACAUUCAUAUCUCAGCACUCAGAUUUCUCAUCUGGAGGUCAUCUCCACAAUCACAAAUUCCAAAAAUAGAAAAUGGCAGUUCUUCGUGCUUGCCAGUUUUUAAAUGUGGGAGUUUCACAUUUUCAGGUUGUUUCCCUGCAACUUUGAAAAGGCUUGAAACAGACUUCUUAAGAAAAAGCCACACCGUGCCUCCUUCCCCACCCCUGCUUGAACGGUGGAGACCACUGUUUAAUCUGUUGAGUCCAAAACUUCAGGUAGUCUGAGGUGUGAGAAAGUGAUGUGAAGUGCCUGUGCUGGUGGAUGUCUGACAAAAGCGAACAACCCUGUUUUACUCCAAGAGUGUGGAAAGGUAAGAAAACAAGGAGGCUGAACUGGUUUCAUUUCAAGGUUUUGUCAGGGAAGUGUAUUGGACUUCAUACGUCUACUACUGAGGGCUUUAAGCUUCUAAUCCCGGGGAAUCUGAUUUCUGGAAAAUAUGGUGAUAAGGAUGGAAAGGAGGAAGACUCUUCACCAAGUAAGGUGUUGCUCCGUGAAUGGAAUAUGAAUACAGCCAGAGUCUGUAGUGACCCAACAAGGAAAUUAAUCCACUGUGAGACUUCACACGAGCACAGCAGCCCUGCUGACUGCAGUACACAGAUGGAGUCUGCAAGUCUAAGAGCUCCCAAUGCAAGAGGCAUGGGUUUGACCCCACCUUCAAUAGCAGACAAGCUCAGCAAGGUAGAAAUGAAACACAUUGUGAAUCCUUUCAGUGACUUCAUGUCACCUUGGCCUAACCCAGUUCCCAAAAGGACAUCAUCAAUUAAUUGCUGUGAUGCUGCUAAGUUGCACUAUGCAGUCCUGACUUACUUUCUUCCCAAGCACAGCUGUAUUGGUAAGUUGAGUGUUUCUGUCCCUUGUGCUGCUAUCAGCUGCAGAAGAGUGUGCUCCUAGUUCCCAGCCAGAAGGCUAUGCAGAUCCCAUGGUCAAACUGGGCUGCAGCUAUUAUAGAAGGGAUCUGGCUCCCUUGCCCUCUACCUACAGCUUAAAAGUGCUGCCCGGGCGCACAGGCUCAACCCCAGGGACAUGGGUCUGUCUUGCUCCCUGCUGUUCAUGCCACCAGCUGCCAGCUAGACCCAAGCACACCUCUCUGCACAGCUGGUAUUGCUGGCGACUGCAUUUACCCGACCACAGCUCAGGAGCAAAGGGAGACGACGACAGUUGCUGUUACUACAGAGAAAGACCCAGCAGGUGCCGCAGAGCAGCACUUGCUGUCAGGCAAUUUGUCACUGGUUUUGAGUACGAAAUCUGUAUGUACUUUGUAUUUAGCAACUUUCCUCUCAAGCUUUUGCUGCCUGCAAAGAAAAUGAAGAAAUACCCAAGACUAUUUUAGAAGGGUUAGUACAAACAGUGAGAAUGAAGUAUAUUGUUAAAGGGAUCCUUUGCUGUUAACGGGAUCUUUUCGUGUUAAAGGGACCCUUUGGUGUGAAAGGAGCUUUCAAUUGUGUUAUGCCACAUGAAGAAGAUUUCAAUAAUGUUGGAGAAGUAUAUAAAAGCAACUGUCCUUUGAGGUGGAAAUCUGACAAUUCUGACAGUUCAGCCUCCCAAUUGCAUCCUGAAAUAAGAAGAAUGCUAAUAAUUAUAAUACUUAAUAAUAGCAAGUACUAACAUCCUGUGGUACUAGACAUUAACGAGAUCUACUCCCAAAUACUGUGUGCACUGUUCAUGAAAGGCAACCUCAGACUAGACAGGUGCAGCCAGGAAGAGCUGAGCAGAGCAGGGGCACUGGGAGCCGGUCUGGGAGAAGGGGGACUUGGCUGGCUUAACAUUGGCGAGAAAGUAUCCCAGAGUGGAUACCAGUGCUUUCUAUAAAUAAAGCAAGGGCAUAACACGGGGGAGAAUGAAGAGCCACUUAAGCUAAAGGACAGAGCUGGCAGCAAAAGAAAUAAAGGGUCAUGAGUCAAUUACAAGAAAGUUUGUAAUCAGAGGAGAGAGGUCUUGAGCAAUGCAUCACUGGGUGUAAUGGGAGCUGGGGCUAGAGCCACGCUGGACACUGUCCCUUUGCAUGCUGCCAUUGCAGGCUACAGCCUCUUGAAAGCCCUCGAAUGCUGGAGGUGCCUAAAUCACGUAGCACUUUCCCAUAGGCAUUGAGAGUCUCCAGGGAGCUGCAAGCUCUGCGUCUCCACACGCUGAGCAGCUUCAUGCUUUUGCUCAUACCUGAGUCCCAGCAGAUGCGGCUGACCACCAGCUGAUGUCCUAGGGGUUAAACGUGGAGGGCCCCUCACUGUGAGGCUGCAUCAGUCUGUGAGGUCCAAGCCUCUAGUAAUAUUCAUUGAGAGCCAUAUUUCAAACAUGACUAGAGGAGGGGGAGGCAGCGCUCCACUACCCACAUGUUUGCACAGCUUCUUGCCGACAACCAGGGUAGAUAACAGGGGUUAAUCCCCACUGACUGCAGAAGGAACGUGAGCUCCCAAAUCUCAAGUCCCCUUUGGCUAUAAAUCAGGAUUUGCACUGCCCAGCUCAGCAGUUCUUGCAGCCCCUUACUGUGUCUAGCCCAGAUUUCCUUGCUCAUUUUUUGAUGGGUCUUAUUAUACUCUGAAGAAGGAUUGUACAUAAUGCUUACUAACAAUAGCAAGGGACGAGGCCUGAAGAUGCAAUAGGUCCCUUUUAGUGCCUUGCUUCUAUUACCAAUACUGUGCUAUCUUGCUAAUUUGUUUUAUUAAGUGAAUCAUUGGAAUAGUGGAGAUGCAUGGAGUUGGAUGAGAGCGUGUGCAGACAGAGGCAGCCCUGUGUUACACAAUCUGAUAUUGUGGCAGGGGGAACUUAGCCCUUACCUGACUCAAUUUUUCAAUCUCUGCUACCAGUUUAUUUUUCUCUCAGUCAUUUCAUUUAACUCUACUUCUGCUUGGUAGUUUGGAUUGCUCGUUUUCUCUUCACACCAUUAGCCUUAAAAACAUAACAAACUUUAGAGUUUGAUUCCUGUUCAGGCACAAAAGAAACGAAAUGAUGCAUUUAACAGGUGGAUGAAGCUCUCCAUUUAGGGACAUGGUAAACUGCUGGAUUACGCAGUGUCCUGGGUAGAUUUAUUAGCUCCCAGCAGAUCAAGUCCCAAGCAACUGAAGUGUCCACACUAGGAAUGGAGCGUGGGAUAAGACACUCAUGUCCCCAGUAACUGCCCCCAGUGUCAUUGCUGAACCCAAGUCAAAAUAUUUUACAGCACAAGCAAAGACCCAGGCUUCAGUCUAUGCAGGCUGCAGCAGUGACUCACAGGUCAUGGUAAGAUGUGAAAGUCACUCCUGCCACUGCAUGAGGGAUGUGCACUUGUGAGAAAGGGAAGGAGGCAGUGAGCACACUGUAGUGUCAAGCCUUUCUCCAAUGGACUAUGCCUGUUGCUUAAAUUUCCUACCGAUUGCAAUGUGUUUGAAUGUGCAAAUGCUCCCUGUGAACAGCCAGAAGAGAGUCACUGAGGGAUGAAGCAAGACUAAGCCCUGAUGCCAGGGCUCUCCUAGCACAGAGUGAGAAGGAUGCUUACAUCUUGUGCUUGGCGGCCAGCUCUGCUCUCCGCUGGGACACAGCUUCCAUCCUCACUUUAAUUUCUUGCCUCUUGGCAACAAGCUCUGCUGUGACAUGAUUGACUUUGACCUCUCUUUAGAAGUGGAGUCUUCUGGAGCGUGUUGGCACUGCUUUCCAGCGUCUUGCUGGGGCCCAACCAACAGAACUGGCUUUGCAAGUCAGUAAAGACACAUAGCAAAUCCUCUUGUGCUUGCAUAACGCCAGGUCAGAGUACAAUAACUCUUUGUCCUAAAGCUGGCCAAAAUGUCAGAUUCCACCCUCUCACCCUCAUAGUACAUGCAUACACUUUAUGUGGUGACCCCAAACCUAAGCAGGAGUGCAACAGUUUAAGAAGUUCCCAUUUUGUCAAAGUAAACUAUGAGACUUUGUUUGGCCAUGCUAGGAGCCACCAUGACCCAAGGUCCCAUCCUGCCACAGCACCCAAAGGCAUACAGUGGCAAGAAACCCUUUGAUCAGGCAUGCAGCUAAGCAGCAGCAAAGGGGACGGUGGUGGGCUGGGCUGUACUUGUACCAUUAUGACCAGUGAGGCUGGUGGGACACUGCCACGUGGGUCUGAGCAGCCCUCGGAGUCUCUGACAUCCAUGGAGCUGACUAGGUCAAGCUGGGAAAUGCCCAGGCCGUAGCCAAGCCUCACUCAGUGCUGUCUUUAUGCUGGUUUUGGUGCACAUUGGUUUAAAUGAAUAGUAAAUUGUCACACGCUGGCCAGUGUGGGAUGAACUUGCUAGAUAUGGGCCUAACCUCCAGAAAGAUCUAACCUUGUGUGGGGCUUUUAACAGGGUAGAGGGCAUCCUGGUUAUCUCUAGGCAUGUUGAGGAGGUGCUAAAGUUAGAAUAUUAACCAACUCUGAAGCUGAUGAACAAAAAUAAACAGCCUGAGAGGUCACAGAAUCACAGAAUGGUCAGGGUUGGAAGGGACCUCUGGAGACCUUCUAGUCCAACCCCCUGCUAAAGCCAGUGCAGCCCGCCCAAGCUCUGCAAUGCCCAAGGAGGUACCAUAUCUCUUGCUCAUGAUUCAGGGGAGCGUAAGGUGGUAAGAUGGUGGAGCAUCACUCAGUGCCUACAGAUACACAGGACAAAUCUGGCCAGAGAAGCUGGGCAGGUGCCAAGGCAUGUCCCGCUUUCUGCACGGAGAAGAAAGUGCAUGAGGUAGGACUUGAAACAUGUCAUGAACCAAGCAGGAGCUGUGCAUAACUACAGAUGCUAUUGUUGAAGACUUGGUAUUAAGAUUUAUUUCCUUAAUACAUUAUAUGUCUUUUCUUUGGUUGCACUCCUGAUUUUUACCUUUUUCUGAAAAUGAAUAAAUGCUUUUGGGUUAUUGUAUGUAUAAAAAGAUGCAUAAUUUUUCUGAUGCAUAAUUUUGUCUGAGGGAAGCCCCUGUAUAAUAAUGUGGUGCAGCUCAAAUUUGAAUAGACCCUUUGAAUCUACCGUAUGCUUGGCUUCCUGCACUCACGACACCACCUCACCUCGGCUGUCGAUACACCGCACUAAGGUAAUUUUCCUGAAGAACAGAGUGCCAUGCACUCCCUUCUCUAGGGGCCCAAACUUGGAUCCAAACGAUAACAGAAAUAGCUGAAAACACCUGGGGUGAGCUUAGCUGACACAUGCACUGUCCACUGAGGGCAGAGUUAAGGGUUUGCUUUGAUUUAAGGAGAGAAUGCCAUUCCCUGAGAUUCUCUGACAUACACAAGAAUAGGCAAAGAGAUUUAUCCAACCUCAUAGAUGUUGGGGACGUGAGUGACACCUGUCUUCUUCUUCUCUGGAAAAAUACACAAUAAUCAAAGGAACCAAAGCAUCACCCAAAGCAUGGGUUUCUUACUUGGUGUUCUCUUGCCUGUACAUGGUGAAAUGGCCUUUGACUUCAGGAGGUGUUUUGCCCUUAGAAAAGAGUCCAUAAUGUUCUGACCUUCUCUGUGUAGAGCUGUUAAAGAACAGUUACCCAAGGAUAUGCAGAAAAGCUGAGUGGCAUGCAGGACUGUAAGUCUUUCUGGCUUUAUACCUGCACUAUGAGAGCAAGGAGAGCAAGACCCAUCCCUCGUCUCUCAGAGAGGGCUGGACAUAACCAUUUCUUCCCCCCUCCCCUGGGGACCAGAGGAAGGGACUGACCAUAUGUUAGUACUGAUGAUGCUGUCUAUCCCCUAGACCAUGCAGGGCACAUUUUUAGCUUGCCUUGGUUAUCUUCACUCCAGACUUGGACUCUCUCUGCUGGCAGGUAACACCACCAAUGUAGGACAAGGUGUUUGCAUCAGCCAGAAAAUUUCUCAAUUGAGAUGUUUUCAAAAAAUUAGCAUUGCUUAUUUGCCAGCAAAGAUUGACCAGCCAACAACUUUCAUCAGAUAUCUUUUGAUAAUAUUCCUGGUUAGUGAUUUUCUUUUGAGGCACAACUGUUUAUUUCUUUGGCCAAUUCAUAAGCUCGGUGAAGCUGAUGUAUGUUGAAAGGGAACCAGUUGUAUUCAUUGGUGUUAUAAUCAGGGGAGUUAGAAGAGCUGAGGGCAGGAUGCAUCUUGUCUCCAAUAGAUUUGUCCGUAGCAUACUAAAUGCAGUGAUGGUUUGAAAAGUUCUUUAAAAAUUUAUGGACUGAUGACAAGGGAAGUUUAAUAUUCUGAUUUUUACUCAGCUUGAUUGGUUUCAAAAACAAUUACACUACUUGGAAAAUUAUAUUUUAUGAAGCAAGGUCACUUCUGUCUGUCAUUUUCAUGAUUUCAACAUUUCUUUCAGGUUAAUAUUAAGUUAAACGAAAAUGUAAUAAGAAACCUGAUGUAUUUUAUUAGAUUUUGCUUUUUAAAGAAAGGGUACACUGCAUGUUAACAAAGAUCAAGAAUUUGCUUUUUGAAUCAGACCUUGUAUGAGAAAUACCAGCUUGCAGUGAUACGAUCUUUUCCCUAAUAUGUUUCUUAAGCCUGAUAAUAGUAAGGAUAUGUGGUGCGCUGCCAUGGCAUAUAAUGACACGGCUCUGCUCAGCAGUGCAUGAUAGCAAAGAUGAGAAAGGGUUGAGUUAAGACAAAGAAAAGAGUUUCUGUCAUUGGUCUGGCAACCCCAAAGGGGUUUUGGUCACAGUGUUUACAGAGACGAUUGUACUUUGAAAUCUUCUACGUACAAAAUGAAUGGGUGUUUUUAUAAAUAUAUGUAUCUGUAUGAGCAGGGCUCCUUAUGAGGACAAAGUGGACUAAAUACAGACUGGGGGAACAUAAAACAGACCUGUUCAGCUUCUUGACAAGCUGGUGCAAAGAUUAUGCUUUAGCACUGCACUCAGGGGCCAGGCAGCAGUCACUUUGCAUCAUAUUGCACAACGGAGAAAGGAUUCAGGAGGCAGGCAGGUUUUCCAACAGGAAAAUUCAACCUAGAAAUUACCAGCAUGACAGCCUUUGUAUUGCAUUUCUGUUUUAAGUUUAACAUCAAUGUUUAACGCUGAAGAUUUGAAAUUUUAUAAAUCUGCAAGCCCAGAUCCUGAUAGGCAAGACUGAUAUAUAUUUAUCAGUAUGAUUCAGAGCAUGAUGGUCUCUGGGAUGGAUCCUUCUGGAUGGAUGGAUGCUAAACAGCUCCUGAGGAUUUUCUUCAGAUGAAAUGUUUGUCCUGACACCUCUGCAGAGAUUGUUUCAGUGGACACAACUGUUGAAAUCUUGGAGAAAGUACCUGUUCUCAUAGGUUUUACAAAUGAGAAAAUGAGAUAUGGUCCCAGCUACUGAUUUUCCACUGGGCACGCAAUAAGCAUGGUGGGUAUGGGGUGAAAAAUGAGGCUUCUCUUCCAGGAUUAGUCCCAUACAAAAUGCCUUAAGUGAUAUUAUGCAUUUGAUUUGUUUAUGGUUAUAAGUUUUGGAAGUCUAGAGUCUUUUUUUACAGGAGGUGGAGAUCUUUAAGGGCAAGCUGCAGAAGAAUGGUCUUGAAAUGGGCGAAACUAAUGGGCAUGUCUGGUAUGUGGCUGAUCCUUCUGAAGAUAUGCUUUAUUGGAAAGAAAUGCUGCCAACACCCAUAGGAAGGACUGUGCCCUUGGAUCUUUUGCACCAUUUUGAGAAGGCUGAUGGGGCAAGUCAGCUAGACAUAGACAGCUGAUCAAGUAGGUUUGAGUGGCAGUUCAGGUAAAGCAGGUCAACGUAUGUAUGUGUCAGAGCUCUGCAGUAUGUAAAUAGAUACCACGGUGGUGGGCACAUUACAGUUGAGGGAUAGAUUACAUGGACUCACGUGUGAGCAGCAGCUGCACAUACUUAGUUUCUCAGAUCUGUCCUAGGCUUUUCUGGGGCUGAAUGAACCAGUUGUGCACAUAUGUGUCAUAUUAUGCAUGGUGGUGUUCUGUCUUUUUAUUUUUAUUGACGCCAUAUUAUCUGUUAUAAAUUCUGAUUUUGCAAUGAUGAAUCAUCUCACUGCCUUCUACAGUCUCCCUUCCCCAUGUUGCAUGACUAAUUUAAAUUCAGGCAGUGCCUACUGAGAUCGUCCCAGUUUGUUUUUAUUUUCUGGGAUGACACCUUUAAAUGCACAGCACUUAGUUUACAGAUAGAGCUGUUUUAUGUGUACAGAAAAGUUACUACUCAAUUAUUCUUCCUUUUUAUCCUAAAUUCAUUAAAACACUGCUAUUUCUGAGAUUCUCCAACCACCAUGUUCCCCAUAAAGUUUUCUUCUUUUAUAUUCAAGAGUAUGGUGGGAUUUGAAGUCACCUACCUGCACUGACCCAACUGGGUCAGCAAAACAAGUUAGGCUGACUUUUGCUGUUCUGCAGCUGCAGCAAAUGCCUCAUUUGAGAUUGCUGGGGACCCCCAGUUUCUCAUGAUGGGUUGGAAGCACAGCAGGAAUCUUUCUCAACAUGCAAGUUCUCUAUGUACUAAGUCACACGUAUUUUGAUGACUUCUGCAAAAGGAUGGAACAGAGCUGGGGGGAAAAGUUUUUAACAGCCUCUGCCUGCUUCAACACAACCCAGCUGCCUUUGUCUUAUUUGUACCAAACUAUGAUUUGGAGCAAUAUAAAUUUCUAGAUGGAUGCGAAUCUGCUGUCAACCUCCACUGAGCAGAGGGGGACCUGUGGGGAGUGGCGUUCCCAGCCAUGGCUGCAGCCCCUGUUCCCCUGGCAGCCUUGGCCAUGGUGAGGCAGGUGAUCAUGGGCCUCGAGGCUUGCCUUGGCAAAUAUUUCUUCUGCAUGCCGCUAUGCAGAGACCUGACAAGUCAUGUUAACACCCUUACCUGGGUAAAUGUCCCUUCCUUGCCAUGCAUAACACCUUGGAGAAAAUUUCAGCCUGAAAGCUUCAAAAUCAAUUGUAACAAAUUCAAUACAAUCUAUUCCCAGGAAGCCUCCAAGUGCAAAUGAUGCAAACAGAAUUGAAGGGUUACAGGGUUAGAUUUCUUUUAUUUUUCAGAAGCUUUUUGACUUACUUGGUGCUGUCCUUUUUCACACACAGUUCCCAGUCCUUUCUUUGUAUCUCUGUGUGUGUGUGUGCACAUCUACUGCAGCACAUGCAGAGACAGACAAAUAUUAUCUUUUUUAUCUUCCUCCAAACUACAGUCCUCUCAGCGAAGAGGUUUGAUUUGCACAGUGAAGUGUGUUCUUACUUUACAGAAUAAGCAAAAGAGGUACAGACCCAUGCUUAUAUCUGGAUUAUGCCAUUUUAGUUAUAUGUAAUUUUAGCUUUCUUUUUAUGUAAUUUAUUUUGGUUUUCUGCUACUAUGAAUAUUGUGCUGCUAAUUUGUAUUAUGACUUUUCCCUGAGGAUGCUUAGCCAGUACAGAACUCCGACCUGUCCACCCACAAUGUUGAAGACAUAUACUUCCUAAGACAAACCAGAGAAACUUUUUUUUCUGCUUGCUCCAAGUCAGCCUAACCAUCUGCAUAAUGAGCGCCUCUUUUUUAUAUUUCAUUGAUGCUGUGCUCAGACAGUGGUGGAUUCUGUGCACAAGUACAUCAUCAGGUCCUUUCCAGGUCUAUUUGCAGCUGUGGUUGUCCGAAAGUUACCCUGAGCCAUAUGGCAUCAGCAGAGAGCUUUUCACUCCUCUCCAAUGAGCCUGAAGUCUUACUGUUUGUUUCUUACCAGACAUAAGCUAUCACCCUGGAGCUCAAAAAAAGGAAAAGUGUUAAUGUGUCAUGCGAACGUCAUAUGGCAAGUCAGUGUAUGCCAUUUGCAUGCCACAUUGUUUCACAGAUCUGAUACACAAUUUUUAAAAUCUCAUGAUGGAUCAUACACGCCUCUCCCCGAAGUGCUUCUAGUGCUCCCUGGACUGAGCUGCACCUACUUUGGAAACAAGUAAUUACAGUUCCACUGAAAUAAACAGGGAUAUACUGAUUUCUAGUGGCUGAAUAUCAGCUCAUUCUUUGCAUAAAUAAAUGCAAAAGACUGAAUUGUCUGGCCCAGUCUGUCAGGUUUGUAGCUUGAAUGAAGAACUUAAGGAUGGAUGGAAAGCAGGUAGAAGCAGACUUGUAGCUACAUGAAGGAAUUCUUUAUUGGAAGAAAGCUGGAGAAAGCCUGCACCUUCUGCAGUAUUUUGCCCAGCUACCCUCUUGCCACACUGAUUUGUACCUGUAGUGGAUAUCUCAGGUACAGGACUUCACCCUCUUCACUCAAGUAGAGCAGAUCUCCAGUAAGAUAUCUGUACAUGUGCACAUAUAUGUGCCGAGAGAGAGUGACUGCUUAUUCACGUGUGUGUUUUGCAUGACAGAAGGGUCAGAAGCGAUGAUAGUACUUUGUCAUAAAUGAUAAAGUACAGUUACACUAGGGAAAGAAAAGGUUGGUAAUGCCUGGUUGAUCUAUUCUUUCUCUGCAUAUUUAUGUGUGUUAUGAGACCUGAGUGAGUUUUGACUGAUUGUUUUGUCCUCACUUACUCCAGUGUGACUCCAUCAGCUUCUCUUGUACUGAACCAAUAUAACCAAGCACAGCACUAAAUGAAUAUUAGUUCCCAUGCUUUGUUAUACAUAUGUGAUGCAGAGCAGAAACAAACUGAUCCUGAGGCCAAACAUGUGGUACAGAUUGUGGUUACAAAAAUCAGUGAUGAAGGCAGCAUCCUCCAAUUACUCCAGUGGUUUCUGGUAAAUCUUUUUUCUUCUCCUUCUAAAAAAAUAAAAUUAUUAAUAAAAUUAUUAUGAAACACUCCAUUCCUAUUCACAUCCUGAGCAGUGAACCAAUAGCCAGAGACUUUUCUUAACACUGGUGAAAAUUUACAUUAUCAAUCACCUUUUUUCUGAGGGGAGUGUUUUGGCUCUUGCCAGACACGAAGGUGUCUACAGCUCUGCUGGUGCCCUGUGCUGCACAGGCUGCCCAUGAGUGUGCUGCCACGUUCACUGAGAGGAGCUGCCUGCAGAAGUGAAGUCUUGAUGCAUAUACGAGGUCUGGGAUUUUUUUUUCUUUGACUAUGUUUUAAAGCUAACCACAGUUCCCUGCACAACCUGAACUCGGUGUUCACAGCAUGCCUCGAUGUCCUUUCUGUGUGACUCAGUGUGUCAAAAUCUAGGCUGGUGCGUGCAGCCUUGCUUUCCCCUAGUGCCUGGCUCACAGUGCCAGCAUCCAUGGGGAUGGAGGUCCUUGCUGCUGGUGUUCAAAGCCACAUGUGGGUCUCUGCUGCUGCACAGCAAGAGGUUGUCAGGAGUCUGACAACAAUAGCACAGAAAUGUGCUAUUUGUGGCUCUGGGACUCAUUGCUUCAAAAUGUCAUGGAGAUAAAGAAUUUAGCAAGAUUCAAAUUUGGGUUCAGUGUUACAUGAAAAUGGGACUGUUGAGGAAUAAAUAAUCAGAAUAGUAUUUGGUUAGGUUGCAAAGUGCCAAGUUUUGAAGAUUUAAACCAGUCUUCAUGAGCUUGCAGGAUGUCUCUGCGUGGAACUAUUUAUCCUGACAGAAGUUUCUUGCAAAUGCUCCUAAACCACCACUGUCGGAGUCAGCCUAUGUGGUCUGCUUAAGCUGACCACUGGCCCGAUUGAUUUUUAGGUACUAAACAACAGAAACUAAGGUUGUUAUCAGAGAUUAACCAAUGAUACAAAACUGUGACCACAAUGAAUGUGACAGACAGGAUGUGCAAUUGCAGCAGAGAAAGCAAAACCACUUUCAUGAAAAAUAAAAUGUGCCAACCAAGAAAUGACUCAAUCUUUGCAGCAUUUCAAUAAAAAUAUCUUUGACACUCUGCAUGCACCCACCUACAUUCAUAUAUACUGUGAGUAGCUUAAGAAGUUUAAGCUUGUCUCACAAUCUCAGGUCAAUAGGAAAUCACGCAUUAAAGGAAAAAAUGCUAAACAUGAUUUCAGCACUUUUGAAGGGUGUUGUGCUGGCAUGCCCUCAUAGCAAAGUGCUUUGGUAUCUGGAGAGCAAGCACAAAGUGGAUGCAUAGGUGUCCCUACACUGACAUGGUAAUGUGCCUCACUCAGGUCCCAGAAGACUGUCCCACCUAAGGGUGAGAUUUUUUUUGCUGAGAGGACCAGGCAGUACCCACUGUAGCCCAUGAUGUGACAGAUCACCCUCCCCCACACCCAGGCUGAGCUUGCAUGUGCUCCCAUCAGAUACUGGGCAACUGUCAGGUACCAGCCCCCUCCACUUGGGCUGGAUCAUCUUUAUCUUAGGGACCCAGGGAGCUGUUUGCAUCCCAUUUCUAAUGCCUUGAAAAAAACCCUUCUCUUUGCAUAGCUGCCACAGCAAUGUCAGUUCCCCACACUCCCCCAGGGCUUGCUCGGCAGCACUGCAUGCUGCCUUGGUGCUCUCAGUGCGCCCUGAUACCAAGCUGAUUCACACAUUGCAGCUGUUGGCCCCUCCAUCUGAUGGCCAGCAGCAUUCACCAUUGUCUGUCUCAUCCCAGUGACGUUCCCUCUGCCAGGCUGUAGCUCCAGGAACACAGGUGGACAGGGACUCUGCACCAGCUGGGGACCUACAAGGAUGUUUCUGCAGCAAAGAGCCACAGAGGCUGCCAGCUCCUGGCAGCAGAGGAGAGCUUGGCAUUGAUGGCCAUCACCCAGCCGUGGCCAGAGUGCCUACAGCCUCACCAUCCAAGGCCUGGUGAAAACACUCCACAAGUGGGUCUAGAUGAAUGCCAAAGGACAGAAGCAUUGCAGAAGCUCAAAUGGAGAAAACACAUCCUGUUUAUUAUCACAGCUCUCAGUAACAUCAAGAGCUGAAUUUCAGCUUUUUACUCCAGCCUUCAUCUCUGCUGUCGUGCUUGUUCUCAUCUUACCGUAAAGUUGUGUUUCUUCCCUCAGUAUACUUGUGACUCUUAUUAUUGCACUGCCUGCUUACCAGCUCAGUAGAUAGAGUCCAGAAGCCUGCUGAAUUAGGUGACAUUUGUAAUCUCUUGGAAUGUCUUGGGGUUAAGCUGAAAAUGCUGAUCUAUAACUGUGCGUGCUCCAGGGGAAAUAUUAGCAAAUCUGAUGCAAUGCUAAUAAAACAUAAUGAUUGUUAUUAUUAUGCUUUGGGUGUGUUGUAAUAAAGCCACAACAUUGUUUUAUUGGGAAAAAAAUUCAACCCCCAAAUGUAUGAUUUCAUUCCUGUAUAGUAACAUUUCUGUAAUUAAUAUUUCAAACUUCUAUGAGGUCUUCCUCUGAGGAUACAAAGUAUUUCACAGAUACUAAUUAAACAAGGUCUUAUUCAGCAAUCUCUAUCCAUAUAAGUACUCUUGUUGGCUUUCCAUCUGCAAGGAAUUUUGCACUUUUCUCUGAACUUAAUGCAUUUGAUUAUUCCCACUUUACUAAUGUAAAAAAUGAGACACACAGGAGUUACAUGAUUUACUCAAGACAAAAGGAAGAACUAGUGAUAUCUGAAAAUAGGUAUUCUGAAGCAGAGUCCUGUGCUUUUAUUAGAAAAUGGUGUGGCAACAUUCAUAGGAUCUCCAAAUGUAUCAAAGGGGUGCACAGGGCUUUGCAAGAAAACCCAGGAAUGUGGGAGGGAAGGGAAUUGCAGUGUGCUUGGUGUGAAUUGAUGGGGAACCACCUGCAAUGUUCAUAGCUGCUGGGACCUUGAGCCCCAACAUCUUUUUUUCUAAUCAAGUGGUCCAUCCUGGGAGACAUAGGCACCCUUGCCUUUGCCAAGUGUGACUCUGCAUCACAGUAUUGGCAUUUUUCCUUGAGUUCAGUGGGACAUUAAGCAGGCUGUAAGGGUGCCAAGGGUGUGGAUCGAAUAAGAGACUGCCACAAAGGCAAGCAAAAGGGUUAAAUAUGUGAGAUAUUCACUCCUGUGUUUAAGCCAAGGCUGGUUAAUAUAGGGGAAAAAAGUGCUGGGUGUUGUUUAAAAGUUGUGGAGGGUUGGCUGACAUGUUGUCAAGGGCAUAAGAGUUUCACACCCUCUUGGUGAUGACAUCCAAGGCUCCUUUACCUGCCACAGUAACUGCUGAAUGUCCUUAACUUUGGACAAAACAAUAGCCCUAGCACUAGUUAUGAGGGGCAGAUGGGUUUGUGGGCAGCAGGGAAGGGGGACGUGUCACGUACUGGCCAUCCUGUUGUGCCGAAGUAAGUUGGAUGGAGAAGCAAGCAUGGAAAGGGAAUGACGCUGGUCCUGAAAGACACUACAAGCAAAGCAGGUGAGUUGCAAGGGAUCACAUAUUAGUGGAUGAUGCGGUCUUGUUAAAUUGGUUCCUUUCAAGAUUGUUCUUGCUAAGCCUUAGAUGGGAGUGUUUAUGCACUGACAGGGUGGGUACAGCUAGCCUGAGGAUCAACAAGGUACUCAAAAGGUAAACCAGACCCAUUGCAAUCUAGGUUUUAUUCUUUUUACAUGCAAUGUUUUGCCAUGGCAAAUAGUGAAGCAGGAACUGAAGGAAAAAGCAUAGGCAUCAUUGUGAUGGUGUAUUAUAGCUUCCCUUCAUUUGUCAUACUAGCUGGACAAGUACACAGAAACCUUCCCAAACUAUUAUCCCCACGUUCCAGUUAAUCCAAGUGUCAGUUCUCCUGUAUGUGCCUGACUGUUUUCUUCUAGCUCACCCCUGGAUCAGUGCUAUCUCUGCCUUGGCCAGCUUGCCCUCUGCCACAUGUGGGGAAGGUGGCUACCAUUUCACGUUUAUGGCCUUGAGGAGUCUGUCGUUCACAUUUACAUGGUGUAAGAGCAGCUUUUUUUCCACUAGUAAGCUCUUACAAAUACUACUUGGAACAAGUUCACAGCUGCUUUUGUCAUCUUUUGGAAUCCUGAAGUCUCAAACUUGCAGCCUUAAAAACACACGAACCACUCUAAAACACCAGUAACUACCCAUGUAAUGUUUGGUCACGUUGUUUAACAAGCAGAAGCUAAAAGAAAAGUAAAUGGACCUCCCUUCUCCUUGAGUAAAUAAAACUCUCCAGGACAACGUAUUUUACUUCAAAAUUAUAUGGCAAGGGGUUUUUUUCUUCUUUAGGUUCCAGAAACAUGUCCAUAUAUGGUCUACUUGUCAGGGACAAUAAAUAAUGAUGUAAUAGAAAGGUCAGCUUUGUGUCAUUUAGCUACAGGAUGCUUGAUGAAGUGAAGUUCUUCAGAUAAUGCAACAAAGAAGAACUUUAGGAUGGGUAAAAGUUUCUGCCGUUCAUCUUCAAACAGGAAAUCUGAGAUUCAGAACAACUUAUAUUUUGGCUUGUAUUCGCUGAUCAUGGGGUGAUCCAGAAAUAAACUCCGGGCUUCAAAGCGAGAGUGUUUCAAAGCUGUCCUGCAGUUGAUCGAAACAUCCAGGCAAAGCAGGGAGACGAAUACCAGCACGGAUUUUCUGAAUUAAGACUUAAUCAAGGAGAUAACCCAUUUCAGCAGUAUUAUUGCCCUUUUAUUUC